GAUAAAAACUAGAAUAUGGGAAAACUAAGGUUAGAAUCUAUAAUGUUGGGAAUAAAAGAAAUCUAGGUUAGUUGUGAUAAUAUUAAUUCUUAAUUUUUGGGAUUCAAUAAAUCAUGAAAUUGGAAGUGUUAAAAUAUAGAUAAAUAUCUGAAAGAAAUAAGAAGAUUAAACCAUCUAAAAAUUAUUCACACAAAAAGUCUAGAAAAAGCCCUAAUUGUGAUUUUUCUCGGGUCGCUACUGUUCAUUGCGCGCCAGUUGUUCGAUCCGCGCCUAACCCGACCGAACACCCGACGCAGCCCUCUCCAAUCACUGCCAUGCCGCGCGUGUGCCUUCCGACCCGUGCGCCGCACUAGUCAUGCCCGUGCGCCGCACCGCGUCGCGCCACGCCGCGUGGGCCCGCCGCCGACCGAGCCGCCAAAAACCCGCGCCAAAGCUGCGCUGCCACGAGUGCCCGCGUCAUCCCGUCCCCUCGCACAUCGCCUUCGGGAUUGAGUGAUAACGGCCGCCACAACGACCCCGCGUCACCCUAGGGCAUAGCCCUGCGUCUUCCCUAUCGAGGCCGAUAUCACUGUCCGUCGCCGUCGCUCUUGUCGCCGUCGCGUCGCCAUCCUGUCGCCCACAACUGAGACCGCUGGAUAUUAGGGUGCUCCUUCCCUAGCUAAUGAUCCCUCUCCUGGAACCCUAUCAUCUAGGCAAUCAUGCCGGCACAGUGCAUUGAACUAAACCUAGGAGAGAUCGAAACGUGGCUGAGUCAUCGAUUGACCUUAUCCAGUAGGAAUCGCCCUCCCCUCGCUUGUAUAAACUCGUCCCUAGCUCGUUCUUAUCCUAACCCAACCUUCCAUUAGCUCUUUCCCUUCCUAAAACUCUUGCUCCUCCGAAAAGGAGCAAAACCGCGCCGCCCGCCGGGUGUCGAACACCUGGUGAGCGGGGGUUGCGCCGCCGCCGCAGGGCCUCUCGGCCGAUGUGGGUGGCGGGGUGUGGAGAGGAGGUGCUCGCACUGCUGUUACCGCCAUUGGAGGGAGCCGGGAGCCGUUGGACGAAGAGGGCCGGGCGUCGAACACCUUCAAGCCUCGCCGACCGCCGUCUGCCCCUAUUUCGGCCGCACCGCGCCGCACGCCGUCGAACUCCGCCGUUCCACCACUCCGUGAUUCCGAGGGAGUAGCUGAGUUGACUGAGGAGCAGGGACAGCAAGACUGUGAUCCAGUGGAUGGCAAUGAAGUCGAGGAGGAUCCCUAUGCUUAUCUUCAGGAGGAUGCGGAGGAUGACGGCGCCCCGUAGAUGUUAGUUACGGUCGUUGCCUGUGGCAAUGGCAAGGCCGCUGCUUAAAUUCCGCUGCCUUAUCUAUUUCUGCUUUUGCAUGUAUUCCAGACCGUUCGGGCCUAUGUUCUGGUCUAUGCAUGCGGGCCUAUGAUGUAAUAAUUCGCGCUAGACAAUCUUUGUAUGUGCACUUGAUAUUUCAGCAAUGUAAUCGUGAGUACCAGACUAUUUGAUCCAGGGAAAUGGUACUAUUAACACGAGUGAUUCCUGUUAUAAAAA